GACGAACGCUGGCGGCGUGCUUAACACAUGCAAGUCGAGCGGUAAGGCCCUUUCGGGGGUACACGAGCGGCGAACGGGUGAGUAACACGUGGGUGACCUGCCCUCAGCUCUGGGAUAAGCCUGGGAAACUGGGUCUAAUACCGGAUAUGACUUCACAUCGCAUGGUGUGUUGUGGAAAGUCCUGGGCUUUAUUGUCUGGGUUCGGCUGGGGAUGGGCCCGCGGCCUAUCAGCUUGUUGGUGGGGUGAUGGCCUACCAAGGCGACGACGGGUAGCCGGCCUGAGAGGGCGACCGGCCACACUGGGACUGAGACACGGCCCAGACUCCUACGGGAGGCAGCAGCGGGGAAUAUUGCGCAAUGGGCGGAAGCCUGACGCAGCGACGCCGCGUGGGGGAUGACGGCC
rnacentral:rRNA from 1 species